rnacentral:rRNA from 1 species
GGCUCAGGAUGAACGCUAGCGGCAGGCUUAACACAUGCAAGUCGAGGGGUAUAAGUCUUCGGAUAUAGAGACCGGCGCACGGGUGCGUAACGCGUAUGCAAUCUACCUUUUACAGAGGGAUAGCCCAGAGAAAUUUGGAUUAAUACCUCAUAGUAUUAUGAAAUGGCAUCAUUUUAUAAUUAAAGUCACAACGGUAAAAGAUGAGCAUGCGUCCCAUUAGCUAGUUGGUAAGGUAACGGCUUACCAAGGCUACGAUGGGUAGGGGUCCUGAGAGGGAGAUCCCCCACACUGGUACUGAGACACGGACCAGACUCCUACGGGAGGCAGCAGUGAGGAAUAUUGGACAAUGGGCGCAAGCCUGAUCCAGCCAUGCCGCGUGCAGGAUGACGGUCCUAUGGAUUGUAAACUGCUUUUAUACGAGAAGAAACACUGCUUCGUGAAGCAGCUUGACGGUAUCGUAAGAAUAAGGAUCGGCUAACUCCGUGCCAGCAGCCGCGGUAAUACGGAGGAUCCAAGCGUUAUCCGGAAUCAUUGGGUUUAAAGGGUCCGUAGGCGGUUUGGUAAGUCAGUGGUGAAAGCCCAUCGCUCAACGGUGGAACGGCCAUUGAUACUGCCAGACUUGAAUUAUUAGGAAGUAACUAGAAUAUGUAGUGUAGCGGUGAAAUGCUUAGAGAUUACAUGGAAUACCAAUUGCGAAGGCAGGUUACUACUAAUGGAUUGACGCUGAUGGACGAAAGCGUGGGUAGCGAACAGGAUUAGAUACCCUGGUAGUCCACGCCGUAAACGAUGGAUACUAGCUGUUGGAAGCAAUUUCAGUGGCUAAGCGAAAGUGAUA